GAGGGUAUAGUUCAGAGGUGGAGUGCAUGCUUAGCAUGCACGAGGUCCUGAGUUCAAUCCCCAGUACCUCCA
rnacentral:tRNA from 1 species